GACGAACGCUGGCGGCAUGCCUAACACAUGCAAGUCGAGCGAGCUGAUUCCUUCGGGAUGAAGCUAGCGGCGGACGGGUGAGUAACACGUGGGCAACCUGCCUCAUAGAGGGGAAUAGCCUUCCGAAAGGAAGAUUAAUACCGCAUAAGAUUGCAUCUUCGCAUGAAGAAGCAAUUAAAGGAGUAAUCCGCUAGGAGAUGGGCCCGCGGCGCAUUAGCUAGUUGGUGAGGUAACGGCUCACCAAGGCGCCGAUGCGUAGCCGACCUGAGAGGGUGAUCGGCCACAUUGGGACUGAGACACGGCCCAGACUCCUACGGGAGGCAGCAGUGGGGAAUAUUGCACAAUGGGGGAAACCCUGAUGCAGCAAUGCCGCGUGAGUGAUGACGGCCUUCGGGUUGUAAAGCUCUGUCUUCGGGGACGAUAAUGACGGUACCCGAGGAGGAAGCCACGGCUAACUACGUGCCAGCAGCCGCCGUAA
rnacentral:rRNA from 1 species